AUUGAACGCUGGCGGCGUGCUUAACACAUGCAAGUCGAUCGGUAACAGGUGUAGCAAUACAUGCUGACGAGAGGCGGACGGGUGAGUAAUGCUUGGGAAUCUGCCUAUUAGUGGGGGACAACCCGGGGAAACUCGGGCUAAUACCGCAUACGCUCUACGGAGGAAAAGCCGGGGACCGCGAAGGCCUGGCGCUAAUAGAUGAGCCCAAGUCGGAUUAGCUA
rnacentral:rRNA from 1 species